UUUUCUAGUCCAUGUGUGAAGCUUCUCCCUCCUCCUCCUCCUCCCACCUUCCUCUCUCCCACUGUCCAUUCACGGUUUGACUGAAGUAGAGCAAAGGAUUUAAUACCAACACGAGAGGCCCAGGAGUUACACGAGAACCUUCUGGUUCCAUCGUUAGCCGUUGACUUUCUCUUUGUUUUUACUCUUGGUGCUUUCUUUGUAAUUUAGCACAUGAAGAAAUGACUGAAGCCAUGUGUUAGACACCGACAUGUUUGAGUCUCACAGCAUAAAAAACAAACAAACAAACAAACUUCAAAACAACUGUGAUUUACUGUAUCUUCCUUUUUUAUUUUUAAAAAAAAGUAAUAUUCUUUAAGCUUAUAUAACUAUUUCUAACCUCGGACAGAGAGACCAGGGCCUGGGGGACGGGUUUCGGCACAUGUGAAGAGAUUAAAAAAAUAAAAGCAGGAAUCCACAUGUUUCCAGCACCUGAGUGUCGAGGUGUCGAGAGCCUCUGCAUCAACUGCACUCGCAUCACGUCUGCGGUGGUGCUGGUGGUUGUGGUUUGAAAAGGUGGCUUAAAAAAAAAAAAAAAAAAAACAACGCAGAUGCUGCUCACGACCACAAGUGCCAGAAGACGUCCGCUGGAGCUGACAAGCAUCAAAACAAUACGAAAAAAACACACACUCCUGAUGCAGGAGGAGAACCGUGAAUGUUUUAUACUCUCUCUCUCUGUGUGUGUGUGUGUGUGUGUGUGUUAUAAUGAUAUGACAAAGGCAAAAGUCAAUACCAAAGAAUCUUCCAGUCCGGCAGCACCGGUGACGUAGUCUGGGGCCAGUGAGGGUAACUGAGGAGCAGAGUUUCCUAAAACAUCAGUUUCACACCAGGCCGAUGGAGGAACAGUUUGAGGGAAAUAUUUGGUAAAAAGCACAAAGUCAUUAAUUGUGUGGUUGCUGAUUUACACAUGACCUCGUCAGACCCUGGUGUCUCUGGCUCUCUGCAUGCUCGUUGUGUUUGUUUGUUUCUGUGUUAUGUGUGUGGCGCCUCUCUCUCUCUCUCUCACACACACACACACACACACUCACACCUCCAUCCUCUCAGUUUCUUCCUGGAGCCUCUUCAAAUUGUACUGUAGUUUUUGUGAAUGAUGUUCAGGGAUGGAGGGGUGGAGACAAAAAAAGUGUGUACAUUCAUGCUAAGAUUAUCUGGAUGUAUGUAGCAUUUAAUUUCACAGCACUAACGAUUAAAACCUUUGUUCAUUUAUAAACUAA